GGAGAGGCACUGUGGCUCAGUGGCAGAGCAUCUGCCCCUUUUGCAGAAGGCCCCAGGUUCAAGCCCUGGCAUCUCCA